GAGAACAUGAGCGAACAAGGAGGAUAGACGAAUGGAGAUUGCUCCUCCAGGACAUUUCUAGCUUCUCCCAAGUGUUCAUGGCCCUUGGGGCGCUCUUACCUGAAGAAGCCUUUCUGAGACUUCCUGGUGGACGCUGAUUUCCUUCGGGUCUUCUGGCUGAUCUGGCGCCGUCUAGAAGAUGUCGACGUUGGAUCGGUCAUGUCUCCCGUAAUUCAGCUCAGCGUGCUUUAUUCAAACUGUCAGCUUUUCACCUGGCCGGCCGUUCACCUGCGUCGCUGUAGAAAAAACUCCGCUUUUCAUCUGAUCGCAACGGUCAAAGGCAAGCACCGACAGAGAUGGCUCGCGUUUGCAUAAAACUUUCCUCUUCUCAAAUGUCUCAAGAAGAAUUGAAACACUGAAGAAUCUACCAAGGAACAAGAUUAUCGAGGAGCUUUUUUAAUUAGUAGAAUUAAAUCAUUCGCCUCUUCCUAGUGCAAUUUUCCUGUUUUUUUAUUUUCACUGUUUCGUCGAUCUACGUUUUAUCUUUGUCUGUUUCUUAAGAAAUUUCUAUUGCGAAUUUUGUUCUAUUCAUUUGAGAAGAAAGAGAACUCGGUGUUGCAAUUUUAUCGUUGAUUUAAUUAAUAUGAAAGAAUAUGGAAUUGGUGAAAGAAACAUUGUAUUGAUUAUUUCGCUUGAACAGGUGCAGGAAUAACAUAGAACAUGAAUGAAUCGACAAUGACAAUUCCACGGAUGUAUCGAAAAUGCAAGUUGAAAUGCAAAAUAAUCUUCUAUUAUCGAACUACGCUAAAGCUGAAGAUUCUCGAGAUACACUUGAGAGCAAACUUAAUUGAUACUCAUGAGUUUCGAAAUUUCUGCUAAAAUUCCUCUGAGGGCAUCGACGAAGGAAGUCUACAUUUAAAAAAGACAAGUUUAUCACGAGGAAUAAAGGAACGCAUUCUAUUCGUCAAAGUGUCUUUUCAUGGACUGCUUAAAUUUUCUCGUAUCUAAAACCUUCAAAGUAUCACAUACCAGACAUGGGAAUUGAUCACUGUGUAUAAUAAUUCUUUCAAAAAAAGAAUAUAAUCCUACAUAACAAUUUCUGUCUUCUAAGACAAUGUUUAUAUCCUUCUAUGUAUAGAAUUCUUGCCAAGGCAACAAGUUCCCAACAGGAGAUAUAACGUUAAGGCAUCAAAAUUCCUAUCUCUGUCUGCGAGGCAGUGUUGAAAUGGAACAAGGAAUCGGAUGCAUCCUCCAGCGAUCCAGUGAAAAGUUGAUCCCUUAAAGAUCCGGGCACGCCCGGGAGCAACGAGCUCCGAUUCAAAGCUUAAAAAAGCUACUUACUU